CAGAUCGAUGCUCAUGCUGCUGAUCACUGGAUUGUCCGGUCCAGACUCGAUUAUUUACAGACUGCCGCCAUAUAGCUGGAAUAUUGCUGAGUGCGGCAUAAACCUAAACUCACUCCCUCACUAAACUUGCAUUUUUCUUUAUCGCUGAGUACAUGGUUUUAUGCUGCUUUGUACAUGUUACAUAUUACAACAUGCUAGCUUAGUGAGGGAAACCCCAGUGUCUUGCUAAUCAAAGAUGUUGACAGUUUUUGUGACAUCAGUAAGUGUGAGUAUGGUGGUGCUGACAGUGAAUCAUGGAUUCAAACCCGUGACCAUCACAUCCUGGCUCAACUAGGGGACAUAACAACCUAGAAACACAGUUGGGGUGAACCUAAAACUCAAACCCAAAAUUAUCAGAUGCUGGCACAGCCCACCAGAAACAUACCGGUAACCAAGAUGAUGGCGUAAGGCUUUAAACCCAAGAUCCUGCCACAGCUAAGGGAUGCCAAUGAGGUAAUAUUACAGUGCCUUAGUACAAGUCUGGGGAUGAUAAUUGUUUCUCUUAAACACUGUGUUAUCUUGUUUUGUUCCAUGGUAAACUGCAACUCCUAUGUUAUUUCAUAGGACACCAUGUAUAUAUUCCAUUGUUUAGUAACCUGUUCAACGUAUGUUUUGAACAUAUGUAAUAAGUACUUUUAAUGUCCAUUUUCGUAUCAAACUGGAAAUGUCCUUGUUUUGUUUUGACCACAGUGGAAUAAUCUAUUACCUAUCUCUUUGAAAUCAGAGCUUUUACUCUGAUGUAUUAUCUUUCUGUGUGAAGAUCCGACAGCGCCAUCAUAAUUGGUCAUAUCAUGUAAACUUUGUAAUCAGCCAAUCAACAUCAAGACUUUUCUUGGGACAAGGGUCAAACAUUGAGACAAGCAUGUUUGAUGUCUGUAUCUUUGAAAUGAAGUUAAUCAGCCUGUUCCAGAUGUAAAUGAUAAAGGCAGCACUAUUAUGUUGUUGUGUAUGUAUUUAGACACCAAGCCCUUCUGAUGGUUACAUACAAAAGAUAGUGCCAUCAAAGGAAAAAUUGUGUUCUGUGUGGGCUUUUCUUUGUAAUAUUUCAAAAUUUCCUGAAUUUAGUUUGAAAAAAAAUGCAGGAGCAUUUUAAAAAGAUGUUUUCUGAUUGACUUAAAGACCUGAGGCUCUUCAUUAGAUUAGGUUAUCAUAGUUCUCCCAGAUUUCACCUCCCAUGACCUUCUGUGGAGGUGUCUGUAGGUUUUCACAAAGAAACAACUAUUGUCAUAGAAAAUGAGAUUACCAGUAUAUUGAAAAUGUCCAUGUUUAGCCCUAUCCAUUGUGGUUUACUGUUCUACACCAGUGUUUUAGUGCCUUUCUCUAUAUGUAUGUGCCCAAGGGAUUAUGGUUAUGUUGCUUUAGUUCUCUGCCUUGUUAACUGUUGGUGAUUGGAUAUUCUACCAAGACCAUGAAGUGGGUAAAGGGGCAUUAUCUGAGACAUGUUGCAUGUAAAGUUUGAAGUUUGGAUCAUAAAUAUGGUCUUGGUCUUUUUAAGACAACUUCUGAACAAAUGAUACUGGGAAGAAGAACAUUCAAAAUAAGAGCUUUCACUGAAGUUAUUAGAUAAUGAGUUUUUAGGUCUGUUUGAGAUUCUGGAAUAUCAACUAUAGUUAAAUCCAUCAAGGCAGGGCUUCUUUGAGACUGAAAUUCAAAUCCAUCUAAUACAGAGAUCAAAGUAGUGGCAUUAUACUAAGAGAUAAAGAAAUGAAUCUAACUAAAAAAAAUUAAAAUGUAUUCUUAUUUUGUCAAGUUCUAUAUUCCAUAUUUUGGCCCAUAAAUGUGGUCCGGUAUUGACAGAAGUGUGGAUUAGUCAGAGGUAGUCUUGAGUAUUUGAGGCUGAAAUUGAAAUCCAUCGAAUACGGAGAUCAAUAGUAGUGGCAUUAUAGUAAGAACUAUUAAAUUUAACAAAUUUGUAAAAAUGUUAUUUUGUCAAGUAUAGUUUGGUCCUUAAAUGUGGUCCAGUAUUGACAGAAAUCUGGAUUAGUCAGGGGUCUGUCUAGACAUAUCUGACUUAAUGACAAACCCACCAGACAUUCACAUAGUAUCAGUCUCCAUUUUACUAAACGUUUUUAUGAUAGUUGUGGAACAGAUCCCUCUACACAUGAACAUGAUGCAAGGAAUAUGUCCAGCUAUUUUCACUUCCACUGUCAUUGUAGACUUAAGUAUGGUUCAUGUAUAUGUCUGUGAAAUAUAUUGGUGAUCUGUAGCACAUAUUCUGACAUGACAACUGAAAAGCUUCAGUUCCUUGUUUGUUCUGAUCAAUAUUUCAACUAAAAUGUGGGUUUUGUUAUGUUUUAUUAAAGACUUUUGUAUAACGUGUACCCUGACAUGUUGCCUCACAAUACCUAGUCAGUUGUAUAAAGGCUGUAGAUGAAUCAUGUAUUCAUUACAACACACCUUCUUCUAGAAGAUGAGAGACGAUCAAAUUGAUAUUUGUCUGAACAUGUUACUUUAUAAUGUGGAAGAUCUUUGAAUCAAUGAAUAACAGAGGAGCUUUUUACGUAUUGGUUUACUUACAACUGAAGGGUGGUGGGGUAGUCAAGUGGUUAAAGCAUUCACUCGUCACACUGAAAACCCGGGUUCGACUUCCCACACGAUGGGUACAAUGUGUGAAGCCCAGUCCUGGUGUCACGCGCCGUGAUAUUGCUGGAAUAUUGCUAAAAGCGGUGUAAUACCAUACUCACUCACACACUCUUUGUAUCAAUGAGUAACAGUGGACCUUUUCACUGUUUUACUUACAACUGAAGCAAGUGUAUCUAAAAUCACAAAAAGUACAUAUUUGAUACGGGAACCAGAGUUAGUGAGUGAGUAUUGUUUUACGCCCCUUUUAGCAAUAUUCCAGCAAUAUCACAGCAGGGGACACCAGAAAUGGGUUUCACACAAAGUGCCCAUAUUGGGGAAUCGAACCCAGGUCAUCAGCGUGAUGAGCGAACACAUUAACCACUGGGCUAUCCCACUGCCAUAUGUGAUACCAGAGCAUGACUUAAGGGAUGUGCAAGCUCUUUUCGUAUUUAUUUAAGAUCAACAUGUAACUUGUAUAAUAAUAUCUGUAGCUAGGGUGAUAAAUGUUUAAAAUCUUUGAAUGGCAUUAGGUUUUGGUACACAACAAAAGGGGAAAAUGUGACCACGUUAACAUUGGUAACACAACAUAUAUUCUUACUCCUUCAUCAGGAAAUCAUUUACCUCAUGGGGUAGAUAUAACAUUAGUUGUAUAGAUUAUCGGAUGCUCAAUGUAUAUGAUGUUGUUAUCAGCACUCAGUUGUGUGUUACCAGUGCUGAUGCUCAGAUCCACCACAGAUUUUAGGGGUUUACUCCAUGUUAUUGUUUAGUGAUUUCUGUUAUGAUGUACCCCAUGCCAAACUGCUGACAAGGAAUUCCUUAGAGGAUUUGUUGGACCAUUCCUUUAGAUGUGUAUUUUACUUUGAUUGACUGUUUUGUUUGUUCAAGCUGAGAUUGUGUGGAAGGUGCAAUAUAGCAAUAAUCUUAUGUACAGUCAUAGCACAUGGAUACUAACAGCAGAGGUGGACAAUGAUGUGAGGGCAAGUUAUAAAGUGUUCCUUAAAAGGUUGUUUCUUAGAACUAAGAUGCUCAAAAAUGUAUUAUUCUAUAACAUGCUAUUCCUCUAUGAAACUAUUUCUGGUGAUAAAUUUUAUUUUGUUUGCUGCUAAAUGCCCCACUCAGCAAUAUGUCAGCUACACAAUGGUGGUCUGUAAAUAAUCACAUCUGGACCAGACAAUCCAGUGAUUCACAUCAUACAUCAUUAGUAUGUAUCUUCGCAAUUGGGAUAUGUCGACAGGCAAUCAACAAAAUGAUGACAGUGUGAUCUAUUUAGUCUCCCAAAUCUACCAUCUCAUGGAAUCAACAUGGGAUUAUUCUCAUUUCUGCUAUGGCAAAGUCUCGUCAUUAAGGGUGAAUAUAUUCCCACUUGGAAUCUAUGUAUGCUUGGAAUGUUUUCAUUAAAGUUGAUUUAUGGCAGGGCAUUAUAACAUUAAUAUUGUUCAUUAUCUUCAGUAAAACACAUGCUAAAUAUGCAUUUUCCAGUAACAAAUAUCUGUUUGUUAGUAAACUAGUAGGGGCGGUAGCCUAGUGGUUAAAGCGUUCGCUCAUCAUGCUGGAGACCUGGGUUGAAUGUGUGAAGCCCAUUUCUGGUGUCCCCCGCCAUGAUAUUGCUGAAAUAUUGUUGAAAGUGGCAUAAAACCUAUAAACUUACUCAUUAGUAAAUUAGUGUAAUAUUUACUAAUUACUAACAGCAAGUUAAAAAUAAAAUACACAGAUGACAUACAUGGGGAAUUAACAUGUGUUAUGACAUAUCUGUUUUAUGGGGAAUAUAAGCCAAGUUGGUGAUACACCAGUGUGAUAUAUGUCAUCUAUGGUGGGGUAUAACAGUGUUAUAUCUGGUAGCUGUCCAGCAGAUCACCAUCUGUCUAAAAGCUGCCAGAAGGGAGAUCUCAUUAACUUGGACGACAAUGACAAAAUAUAUCAAAUUAGGUUCAUGUCAGGUGCAGGGAGACCAUCAAAUAACACCACUCUGUCCAAGUUAUGAUCAGGAAGCUUUUAAAAGGUGUCCAUUUUUUGCAAUAUCACUGGUCUAAUCAUGACAAUAUAGAGGUGAAAAUAAUAAACACUUUGUAAAGCACCAGUGCUGAAUGUCACAUUUUGUAUGUCGAAGUGCUAAACUAUGAUUGAUAAUAUGUCCAGGAAUGAUAUAAACAUAGCAAAUUUUAUAGUCUACGCAGGAUCACAAGCAGACUGAAAACAAUGGGUAGUUAUUACCCACUUCAUCACUGUCUGUGGAUCAUUAGCUGUGUUGAUUUAGACCUUGGUUAUUUAAUGUAUUGAACUUUAAAGAGCAUACUAGGUUACCACAAUUUGUUUUUAGUUCAUUGUGUUUCUCUAUUGUCGAAAUUCCAUAGACAUCCUUGAUUAUCCAGCAUAUUGUAUCUCUGUUUUAUAUUAAUAAAUAGUCUGAACCAACUCACCACCAUAGAUCCGAUUCAGAAGUGAAGUGAAUCACUCCAAGCUCUAACUUAACACAGAAUUUAUCUCAGUAAUGAGUGUAAUCUGUUUGGAUUGGUAUUUCCAGAUCAAGCUAUUUGUUUUGGGUUAGUGACACAAUGGUAGUGAAUGGUUCCAGGGUAUUUAUAAGGAUAGAGUUAUAUUACCCUGAAUGGUAGAGGAUGCCCCUUAGGUUAGUUUAAAGCAUUGGUCACAGAAUUUUAUUACUCAUGUAUUGUCAAACAUGGUGAUACUGCAGUAGUGUAUUAGCAGAUAGUGUUGUGUGACUGUCCAUCACAGUCUCCAUGUAUACAGUUCACUUGUCAUGACCACUUGCUGGAUACAGCUUUGCAAUAAACAGUAUGUACUUCUGUUA